rnacentral:rRNA from 1 species
AAUGGCCUAACGGCUGAACCAGCAACUUGGAAGAACGAAUAGCUAAAGCUAGUUACAUUAUAUACUUGAUGUAAUAUCGAUUAGGUCGAAUAAAGUUCUGGGCAGAAUUAUGAUGAUGACAUUAUCUGCUCAUAUGUCUUGACCAAAUUACGUGCCAGCAGUCGCGGUAAUACGUAGCAGGCUAGUGUUAUUCAUCUUUAAUAGGUUUAAAGGGUACCUAGACGGUAAAUAAAGCCUUAACAGGAACUAAUUUACUAGAGUUGCUUAUGAGAUAGUUAUAAAGUACUUAUGGUGUAGAGAUAAAAUUCUGUAAUACCUAAUUUUCGAUAGAAAAGCGUUUGCACAGAUGUGGGCGAAGGCAUCUUUUUAUGAGACAACUGACGUUGAGGGACGAAGGCUUCGUAUAGCGAAAAGGAUUAGAUACCCUCGUAGUCGAAGCAGACAAUGAUGAGUGUCAUAGAUUAGAUAAUAUUUUAUUCUAUAAAUGAAAAUGUAAGCACUCCACCUCAAGAGUAAUUUGGCAACAUUGGAACUGAAAUCAUUAGACCGUUUCUGAAAUCAGUAGUGAAGUAUGUUGUUUAAUUUGAUAAUCCGCAAAAAACCUUACCACAACUUGAAUAUUUAUAAUUAUUAUAAAUACAAGUGUUGCACGGCUGUCUACAGUUAAUGUCGUGAGAUUUUGGUUAGUUCCAUUAAAUUAACGUAAACCCUUGCUUUAUUUUCAUAUAAAGUAGUUCUCCGCAAUAUUGGAUAAGAUAACAGGGAAUAAGACAAGUCAUCAUGGCCUUAAUGUUGUGGGCUAUAAACGUGCCACGUAAGCCUUUACAAAAGGAUGUGAAAUUGCGAGAUUGAACUAAUCCCCCAAAACUGGCUAUACCUUUUUAAU